UACGUGGGGUCCGAGCGUUGUCCGGAGUUACUGGGCGUAAAGCGCGCGCAGGCGGCGGCGCUGGCCCGGCGUGAAAGCCCCCGGCUCAACCGGGGAGGGUCGCCGGGGACCGCGCCGCUUGAGGGCGGUAGGGGCCGGUGGAAUGCCUGGUGUAGUGGUGAAAUGCGUAGAGAUCAGGCGGAACACCCGUGGCGAAGGCGGCCGGCUGGGCCGUCCCUGACGCUGAGGCGCGAAGGCGUGGGGAGCGAACGGG
rnacentral:rRNA from 1 species